rnacentral:lncRNA from 1 species
CAGCCUUCAGCUUAUGCAGCUGGGCAUUGUCCACCCUUCGGGUGGCCUAAGCGGCCUUUUCAUCGACUUUCCUUGAGAUUCAUCAAGCUUCAUAGACCUUCUCCAAAAAAUGAUCGAAGUGGUGGAUGAGCUACAAAAAAAAAGAAGAAGAGAGAAUAGGUCAGCAAAAAGUAGUUAAGAAGAAAGGAUCAGAAAGAGCCGAGGAAGGUUGAUAGAUCGUCACUUACCCAG